CUACGGGGCGCACCAGUGGGGAAUAUUCCACAAUGGAGGAAACUCUGAUGCAGCAACGCCGCGUGGAGGAUGACACUUUUCGGAGCGUAAACUCCUUUUAUAUAGGAAGAAGAUGACGGUACUAUAUGAAUAAGCGCCGGCUAACUCCGUGCCAGCAGCCGCGGUAAUACGGAGGGCGCAAGCGUUACUCGGAAUCACUGGGCGUAAAGAGCGCGUAGGCGGAUUAAAAAGUCAGAAGUGAAAUCCUAUAGCUUAACUAUAGAACUGCUUCUGAAACUCUUAAUCUAGAAUAUGGGAGAGGUAGAUGGAAUUUCUGGUGUAGGGGUAAAAUCCGUAGAGAUCAGAAGGAAUACCGAUUGCGAAGGCGAUCUACUAGAACAUUAUUGACGCUGAGACGCGAAAGCGUGGGGAGCAAACAGGAUUAGAUACCCGCGUAGUC
rnacentral:rRNA from 1 species